AACGAACGCUGGCGGCAUGCCUAACACAUGCAAGUCGAACGAGACCUUCGGGUCUAGUGGCGCACGGGUGCGUAACGCGUGGGAACCUGCCCUUAGGUUCGGAAUAACUCCCCGAAAGGGGUGCUAAUACCGGAUAAUGUCUUCGGACCAAAGAUUUAUCGCCUUUGGAUGGGCCCGCGUGGGAUUAGCUAGUUGGUAGGGUAAAAGCCUACCAAGGCGACGAUCCAUAGCUGGUCUGAGAGGAUGAUCAGCCACACUGGGACUGAGACACGGCCCAGACUCCUACGGGAGGCAGCAGUGGGGAAUAUUGGAAAAUGGGCGAAAGCCUGAUCCAGCAAUGCCGCGUGAGUGAUGAAGGCCUUAGGGUUGUAAAGCUCUUUUACCCGGGAUGAUAAUGACAGUACCGGGAGAAUAAGCUCCGGCUAACUCCGUG
rnacentral:rRNA from 1 species